rnacentral:rRNA from 1 species
UAAUCUUGCGACCGUACUUCCCAGGCGGCAUAUUUAACGCGUUAGCUCCGGCGCGGACGCGGUCGAUUGCGCCCACACCAAAUAUGCACCGUUUACUGCCAGGACUACCGGGGUAUCUAAUCCCGUUUGCUCCCCUGGCCUUCGUGCCUCAGUGUCAGUAACUGCCCAGUGACCUGCCUUCGCCGUUGGUAUUCCUCUCGAUAUCUACGCAUUUCACUGCUACACCGAGAAUUCUAGUCACCUCUUCAGUACUCUAGCAUGGUAGUAUCGGAUGCAAUUCCGAGGUUGAGCCCCGGGCUUUCACAUCUGACUUUCCACGCCACCUACGCACCCUUUACGCCCAGUGAUUCCGAACAACGCUUGAGACCUCUGUAUUACCGCGGCUGCUGGCACAGAGUUAGCCGUCUCUUCCUCUUGUGUUACCAUCAAUUUGCCAUGCUAUUAACACGACAACCUCGUUCACACAUGACAGGAGUUUACAAUCCGAAGACCUUAUCCUCCACGCGGCGUCGCUCCAUCAGGGUUGCCCCCAUUGUGAAAGAUUCUCGA